UGAUUCUUGAUCCCUUUUUUUCAAUUUUAGCAGACAAAUCAAAAAACUCCCAGAUUCGGGGGAAAUACAGUUAAAAGCGUAUAGAAAAGAGACAAGGAGAGCUCUUCGUCUUCUUCCUCCCAGUGCUCUCUAGGUUACACGGUCGGUUUGAGUAUUGGAAGAUUCUUAAAAAGUCAUAAUGCUACAUUCCAGAAUGAGAUUAUGGCGUUUGGAUUUCAACAUCCCGGCUAUCCUAUAAUCUCACAUUACAGCCAUACCUAAUCUCAUUACACCCUCUUUCUUAGGUAAUCUGAGAUUAUGGGCGUAAUCUGAAUUUUAAGACAAAAUUACCCUCUUUUUUAAUUAUAUUUAUCAAUAUAAUCCUUUCUAGUCAAAAGUUGUUCCUUGUCAGCAACCAUCUGCGGCUUCUCAAUCUCCAAGUCCUCUUGAGAUUUGAGGGUCUUCCCCCUUUCCUCCUUGUUUAGAAACCUUUUAUUGCAUGUGUUCCUUGUUCUGCAUCUAAGCAUUUUUUUUUUCUUUU